AUAACUUCGGGAAACCGGAGCUAAUACCGGAUAAGAUUUUGAACCGCAUGGUUCAAUAGUGAAAGACGGCCUUGCUGUCACUUAUAGAUGGAUCCGCGCCGUAUUAGCUAGUUGGUAAGGUAACGGCUUACCAAGGCAACGAUACGUAGCCGACCUGAGAGGGUGAUCGGCCACACUGGAACUGAGACACGGUCCAGACUCCUACGGGAGGCAGCAGUAGGGAAUCUUCCGCAAUGGGCGAAAGCCUGACGGAGCAACGCCGCGUGAGUGAUGAAGGUCUUCGGAUCGUAAAACUCUGUUAUCAGGGAAGAACAAACGUGUAAGUAACUGUGCACGUCUUGACGGUACCUGAUCAGAAAGCCACGGCUAACUACGUGCCAGCAGCCGCGGUAAUACGUAGGUGGCAAGCGUUAUCCGGAAUUAUUGGGCGUAAAGCGCGCGUAGGCGGUUUUUUAAGUCUGAUGUGAAAGCCCACGGCUCAACCGUGGAGGGUCAUUGGAAACUGGAAAACUUGAGUGCAGAAGAGGAAAGUGGAAUUCCAUGUGUAGCGGUGAAAUGCGCAGAGAUAUGGAGGAACACCAGUGGCGAAGCGACUUUCUGGUCUGUAACUGACGCUGAUGUGCGAAAGCGUGGGAUCAAACAGGAUUAGAUACCCUGGUAGUCCACGCCGUAAACGAUGAGUGCUAAGUGUUA
rnacentral:rRNA from 1 species